AAAACACCGGUUCGCGUACGAUCACCAAAGUUAAGCCCUGUCGAGCCUGGUCAGUGCCUAGAUGGGUGACCACUUAGGAAUACUAAGUGCCGUAA